GCUCCUAUCGUCUAGUGGUUAGGAUAUGGCCUUCUCAAGGCUAGGACUGGAGUUCAAUUCUCCAUAGGAGUACCA
rnacentral:tRNA from 1 species